rnacentral:rRNA from 1 species
AAAUUGAAGAGUUUGAUCAUGGCUCAGAUUGAACGCUGGCGGCAGGCCUAACACAUGCAAGUCGAACGGUAACAGGAAGCAGCUUGCUGCUUUGCUGACGAGUGGCGGACGGGUGAGUAAUGUCUGGGAAACUGCCUGAUGGAGGGGGAUAACUACUGGAAACGGUGGCUAAUACCGCAUAACGUCGCAAGACCAAAGAGGGGGACCUUCGGGCCUCUUGCCAUCAGAUGUGCCCAGAUGGGAUUAGCUUGUUGGUGAGGUAACGGCUCACCAAGGCGACGAUCCCUAGCUGGUCUGAGAGGAUGACCAGCCACACUGGAACUGAGACACGGUCCAGACUCCUACGGGAGGCAGCAGUGGGGAAUAUUGCACAAUGGGCGCAAGCCUGAUGCAGCCAUGCCGCGUGUAUGAAGAAGGCCUUCGGGUUGUAAAGUACUUUCAGCGGGGAGGAAGGUGUUGUGGUUAAUAACCGCAGCAAUUGACGUUACCCGCAGAAGAAGCACCGGCUAACUCCGUGCCAGCAGCCGCGGUAAUACGGAGGGUGCAAGCGUUAAUCGGAAUUACUGGGCGUAAAGCGCACGCAGGCGGUCUGUCAAGUCGGAUGUGAAAUCCCCGGGCUCAACCUGGGAACUGCAUUCGAAACUGGCAGGCUUGAGUCUUGUAGAGGGGGGUAGAAUUCCAGGUGUAGCGGUGAAAUGCGUAGAGAUCUGGAGGAAUACCGGUGGCGAAGGCGGCCCCCUGGACAAAGACUGACGCUCAGGUGCGAAAGCGUGGGGAGCAAACAGGAUUAGAUACCCUGGUAGUCCACGCCGUAAACGAUGUCUACUUGGAGGUUGUGCCCUUGAGGCGUGGCUUCCGGAGCUAACGCGUUAAGUAGACCGCCUGGGGAGUACGGCCGCAAGGUUAAAACUCAAAUGAAUUGACGGGGGCCCGCACAAGCGGUGGAGCAUGUGGUUUAAUUCGAUGCAACGCGAAGAACCUUACCUGGUCUUGACAUCCACAGAACUUUCCAGAGAUGGAUUGGUGCCUUCGGGAACUGUGAGACAGGUGCUGCAUGGCUGUCGUCAGCUCGUGUUGUGAAAUGUUGGGUUAAGUCCCGCAACGAGCGCAACCCUUAUCCUUUGUUGCCAGCGGUCCGGCCGGGAACUCAAAGGAGACUGCCAGUGAUAAACUGGAGGAAGGUGGGGAUGACGUCAAGUCAUCAUGGCCCUUACGACCAGGGCUACACACGUGCUACAAUGGCGCAUACAAAGAGAAGCGACCUCGCGAGAGCAAGCGGACCUCAUAAAGUGCGUCGUAGUCCGGAUUGGAGUCUGCAACUCGACUCCAUGAAGUCGGAAUCGCUAGUAAUCGUGGAUCAGAAUGCCACGGUGAAUACGUUCCCGGGCCUUGUACACACCGCCCGUCACACCAUGGGAGUGGGUUGCAAAAGAAGUAGGUAGCUUAACCUUCGGGAGGGCGCUUACCACUUUGUGAUUCAU